AUACGGAGGAUGCGAGCGUUAUCCGGAUUUAUUGGGUUUAAAGGGAGCGCAGACGGGAUGUUAAGUCAGCUGUGAAAGUUUGCGGCUCAACCGUAAAAUUGCAGUUGAUACUGGCGUCCUUGAGUGCGGUUGAGGUGUGCGGAAUUCGUGGUGUAGCGGUGAAAUGCUUAGAUAUCACGAAGAACCCCGAUUGCGAAGGCAGCACACUAAGCCGUAACUGACGUUCAUGCUCGAAAGUGUGGGUAUCAAACAGGAUUAGAUACCCUGGUAGUCCACACGGUAAACGAUGGAUACUCGCUGUUGGCGAUACACGGUCAGCGGCCAAGCGAAAGCAUUAAGUAUCCC
rnacentral:rRNA from 1 species